CAUUGCCUAAGCUUACCUAUGUAGCUUUUAACCAAUUUAAAUAACUGGUGCAGUGUUUACAUUCUUGGAGAAACUUCCUGUUAAAAGGAAGUUUUUCGUUUGCACUGUCACCACAUGCCUCCUCAGUGAGAGGCUUUAGCUCACAACUUUUAACAAAUAUUUGAUAACUGCAGUGUUUUUUUUUUUUGUUUUUUUUUUUAAGUCUUCCUGUUAAAGGGAAGCUUUUCCUCUCCACAUGCAUCUGCAGUACGUCUCUGGUGAUGGAGAAUAGUUUUGAGCUCAAGGUUGGAGAAUUUAAGGCCUUGUCAACACCACAUGAUGUCUCUAGUGAUGGAGAAUAGUUUUGAGCUCAAGGUAGGGGAAUUUAAGGCCUUGUCAACACCACAUGAUGUCUCUGGUGAUGGAGAGUAGUUUUGAGCUCAAGGUUGGGGAAUUUAAGGCCUUGUCAACACCACAUGGUAUCUGGACUGAGAAGAUUUGGAAACUGAUCAACUGUUUUUGUUGAGAUGGAGCCUCUGCAGACAUGUGAUGGCCUCAAACAUUUAGGAAAUAUGGAUAUCAAAAUGGUCGCCGUGGUACUGGACUUUGAACCCAACAUUAGGAAAUGUGGCUUGCUUCUUCCUGUAGCCACUCCUCAGGGAUUUUAAGUAAUCGGAUGAGUUCAAGGACAUUGGUAAGGAACAAGUACAACAAAGCGGUCAAUCCAUUACAUGGAGGAAAAACGCGAAAAAACGGUAUGUUCUGAUCAUGGGUAUGGUAACUGGAAUGGAUUUUGGAUUCACUCGGCGCAGGAAAAACACGGUAGGCUAUAUGAAAUGCAGGUGUUCUGAUUUUGGGUACAGCAAUUGGAACAGAUCUUGGAGACACAGGAAAAACAUGGUAGGCUAUAUGAAAUGUAUGUGUUGUGAUCAUGGGCAUGGUAACUGGAAUGGAUUUUGAAUUAAUUUCUGAUCUUGAGUAAUGUUUGAAAUGCGUGUAAUAUGUCAUAGUAUUAGAAAUACCUGUGUAGAAUCCAUUAUCUCUUCAGAUGAUGCCCACCGACUACACCUGAGAUGGACGGGCUUUCUUCACCCCUGACCACUGCUGAUGGAAGACCUUAGUGACCCUACCAUCGGGCUGAGCAGUCUUCGAGAAAUGCUGCAGGAAUCCUCCUGGACCGUCUCAUUUCGCCCUUCGCCCCUCCAUCGACCGGAGAAGUUCUUCAUCAUUCCACCGAACAUCGGACAGAAGAGGACUUCAUCGCCGCCCCCUCAUUGAUGGAUGACCUUCGUGACCCUACCAUUGUGCUGAGCAGUCUUCCUUGAGAAAUGCUGCAGGAAUCCUCCUGGAUUCUUGUCUGAUUUCGCUCUUCAUCAACCAACGGAGAAGUUCAUCAUUCCACCGAACAUCGAACAGAAGAGGACUUCAUCGCCCCUCUGGACCCCCCAUUGAUGGAUGACCUACCAUUGGACUAGGCAGGUUUUCUGCAGGAAACCCUGCAAGUGUUCUCAUGUGAGCAGGAAUCAUCCUGGAUCAUCUUUUACCAUUCAUCGCCAGGCCCCAACCACGGAUGGAAAUGGAUUUCAUCGCCAUGGACGGAAGGAGAAUUUUGUUUAUGGACUCUUUACAGACUUCAUUUUAUUU